AUUUACUUAUCGGCAUAACAUGUUAUUUUUUGGCUAGCUUAGGAAACUGGUGCAUGACAGGUUUACAUAUAGCAUUUUUCAAAUGAAAAAUAGAGCAGCUAUGUUUUGCGUAUAUUUUGUGAUUACUGAAAAAGUAUAUAUCUAUCCGUCACUCGGGUCAAUUUCCUAUAAUAAUACGGGGAGCCUGAUUGAAAAGCAGGGUCUAUUGCUGCUAAAGAUUGCAAUUGCUUAUAAGCAGUAUAUUGCGUGUUUUUGAAUUAUUUUUUUUUGUCUGUUUUUUAUAUUUUGGAUUUCAAUCCGAUCAAGCUCUAGACAAUCUAACACCAAGUCAUCAAUUGAAGUGACAUCUAUUGGGAAUGUCCCUUGAGGUUACUUAGAGUCCCUCGAGUUUAACAAAUGAAAGUGAAAAUAUUUGGUGCAUGGUAGUCGAAAGUGUGAUGGUUAACUGAGGUGAGAGAAUAGUUGUCAAUAAUUCGUUAGUUGGUUUGAAAUCCAUAGUGGCUAAUCUUGCUGGUAGGAAAAUUGAAAUAUUGAAAUAGACAUUGGUGACACUUCCACUUACAUCAUAGCCAAGUUAGCAUCAAGUAAUAUAAAAAAUUGGUUUCUGUGGCAAGAUCUAUAGAUACAUUAUGUACCUGUUCAUUACAAAGUCUCUUAAUAGUCGGUUCAAUCCAUGUUUUACUAGAGCAAUUCCAAUUUUUCCAAAACUGAAAUUGAACACGAGUUUAGUGCACAUUUGAAUAUGUAUUUUUGUGGUGUAGUUCUUUUAUUUGUUUGAUUUAAAUGUUUGUUUCCUAUUUUCUCCAUAACAGCAUCAUAGUACUUUUCUUUGCAAAAGAAGAUGACAGUUACUAUCAAUUUCCAGCAUGGUCUUGGCCAGAAGUUUAGACAACCAUCUGGAACUGGUAUCACUCUUUCAAUGUUCGAGGAAUCCGAGUUAUUAAAAGUGGGCGACCUAGACGUCUAUCCUGUAGCAGCUAAAGCAGAUGCAUCUUCCGGUGACAUGAAUGGAACAAAUGAAACUCCAACAUCUGGUAAUAAAACAAACACAAACUCUCAGAUAACUCAAGAAGUGUUUGAGAAGGAGAAAGGAGAAUUCCGGGUGAAGGUUGGUAAGCAGAUAUUGUGGGUGAAUGGAAUGAGAUAUGAGCUGCAGGAGAUAUAUGGUAUUGAAACUUCAGUAGAGUGACUUGGAUGUGAAUGACCCCGGAAAAGAGUUAUCUGCUUAUCAGAACCUCGCGACACAACUGUCCUUCCUUAUCGCCACAUGUGCAUGUGUAGCGGAUGUGCAAAGGUUUUAAGGUUCCAUACAAAUAGAUGUCCAAUAUGUAGACAACCAGUUGAAUAUAUUGUCUCUAUCUGUGUCCUCUUUUUUGUCAAAAAAUAUAUAUGAAUUUUUAUUCAAAAUCCAUGAAUGGAUAUCUAUUGUGCUUUUGGUGACCCUUAGUCCCUAGAUUCAAUUUUGCAGUGAUUUGAAUUAUGAUCUUAACGACCCUAUUCCCUAUUGUUUCAUAAGUUUUGUAAGCAAUGGAUGCCUCAAUGAGACAAUGGCGUCAGAGUAAAAUGCAUUAUGACCCGAAUCGUUAAUAUGUCAGUGAGAAGAAUUUUUUUCA